rfam:Mink coronavirus strain WD1127, complete genome
AUUAUAACAAGAUCUUCAGGCGUGUACUGCGAGAUCUACUCUUACACAGAAUGGUAAGCACGUAUCUAUGCAGGGUGUAAGUAACUCAUAGAUAUAUUAGGAAGUUUAGAUUGAAUUAAUCAAUACUAGAUUGAAAAUUUGAGAGUAAUUUAAAGAUCCGCUUAGACGAGCCAACAAUGGAAGGGCUCAACUUUUGGAUCUAGUUAAUUGCUAAUUUUAAAUUGAUGAUAAUUUUCCUUUUGAUAGUGAUACAC